AUUAAAAUGGCAGAACAAUGCAUAGGAUUUAAGCUCCUUUUAUAUCUUUUACAGAUUUUUAAUA
rnacentral:tRNA from 1 species